UAAAACGCAACUACUUACAUGCUUUUAUAUGCUAUAACAUGGAUAAUAGACAUGUUACUCAAUAGAUAUUCAAAUCAAUAUCACCUACACCAAUUACGUAGCAUCAACAAGAUUUUCUACAUUUUAUUAGUUGUGUAGUCUUUUUUUGCGGUGGAGCCGCGGUCAGCAAAGGAUCAUAAUCCUGACAAAUAAAAUUCAACGAAAUACAGUUUUUAAUUCGAAUCGAGGAAAAUUGCUACGAUUGCUACGAGUAAAGAACAUAGACAAUACUUGACAUGGAUGGAAGACAUGGCUUCUACCUUAGCUUCUACCAAAUAAGCAGAUGGAUGG